UACGGAGGGUGCAAGCGUUAUCCGGAAUCACUGGGUUUAAAGGGUGCGUAGGCGGCCAUAUAAGUCAGAGGUGAAAGCCUACAGCUUAACUGUAGAACGGCCUUUGAUACUGUGUGGCUUGAAUUAGGUUGAGGUUGGCGGAAUGUGGCAUGUAGCGGUGAAAUGCAUAGAUAUGCCAUAGAACACCAAUUGCGAAGGCAGCUGACUAGACCUUAAAUUGACGCUGAGGCACGAAAGCGUGGGGAGCGAA
rnacentral:rRNA from 1 species